rfam:Trichodesmium erythraeum IMS101, complete genome.
GGAGAGGUGGCAGAGUGGUCGAAUGCGGCAAACUCGAAAUUUGUUGAAGGGAGACCUUCCGUGGGUUCGAAUCCCACCCUCUCCG